GUGGCGACGACUGAGGUGUUAAAGGGAAGCGCCUCGUUAGAGGUCGAAAAAACUUUAAUUCUCUUCAGUAUCAUCUUUUUAAACUCGGAUUUUACCGAGCCUGGGACCACCAGGUCAUCGACUUUGGUGAAAUUUACGUUGUCACAGUUAUGGAACCUAAGUUGUUCAGUUACGUUUCCGUAUCUGAUUUUUCCGCUGCGCAGGUUCAAUGCCGCUCCCGCUCGCGUUAGCAAAUCGGAACCUAUAAUGGCAUCGAACGUAGCUAGAGUGUCUAACAAAAAAAAUGGGGCGUUUUGCCCGAAAAUAUUCAUUAGGCACUUGUUUUUUAUUUCACUGGAGCCAUGUAUCGAGCUCACGGUGAAGGGGGCGUCGACCGAAGUUACGUUUUUCAGCUCCUUUAUGGGCUUUACGUAAUUUUUAGCCGCACCAGUGUCGAUUAAAAUUUUUAGUGUUUUGCCAGCCAACUGUCGCUCGACGAACGGCAAUUGGGAGCGCUCACUAAAAAAAUUCAACAGGUCGUUGCCGCUAGCCGAAUCGCUUUCUUCGUCAAUUUCCGCAACCGCGGCCUCGGCUAAGUUUGCAUAUUCUUGUUCCCCUUGGUUAGGGGCCUGCUGUAUUAUAUUAUUUAUCCGUUGGCGUCUUUGCCCAGAUAUACGAUCUGACGUGUUCCGCCUUUUCUGAGCUUCGCCAUGUGUGACGUCGCUCUGUGGUUUCCCCCAAUUGGUCUGUUGCCUAAACCUAGACAUCGAUGGGUCAACUUCCAUAGGCUGCACUUGGUUUUGUUGUGGGGCCUCUUUAUCGUUUGGCUUUGGCCAAGGAUCACCCUGUUGCUGCCUAUUUUGAUUACUUUUUCCCACAAAAUUUGGGUUCUUUUCCUGACCUCUACCUU
rnacentral:lncRNA from 1 species